rnacentral:rRNA from 1 species
CGGGACGGGUGGGUAAUGCUUGGGAAUCUAGCUUAUGGAGGGGGAUAACUACGGGAAACUGUAGCUAAUACCGCGUAAUAUCGAGAGAUUAAAGUGUGGGACCUUCGGGCCACAUGCCAUAGGAUGAGCCCAAGUGGGAUUAGGUAGUUGGUGAGGUAAAGGCUCACCAAGCCGACGAUCUCUAGCUGGUCUGAGAGGAUGACCAGCCACACUGGGACUGAGACACGGCCCAG